GCGCCCGUAGCAUAAUGGAUAGUGCACAAGAUUGCGGAUCUUGAGGUUGUGGGUUCGACCCCCGCCGGGCGCG
rnacentral:tRNA from 1 species